rnacentral:rRNA from 1 species
GACGAACGCUGGCGGCGCGCCUAACACAUGCAAGUCGAACGGAGUCAAGAGGAGCUUGCUUUUCUUGACUUAGUGGCGAACGGGUGAGUAACGCGUGAGUAACCUGCCCUGGAGUGGGGGACAACAGUUGGAAACGACUGCUAAUACCGCAUAAGCCACGGAUCCGCAUGGAUCUGCGGGAAAAGGAUUUAUUCGCUUCAGGAUGGACUCGCGUCCAAUUAGCUAGUUGGUGAGGUAACGGCCCACCAAGGCGACGAUUGGUAGCCGGACUGAGAGGUUGAACGGCCACAUUGGGACUGAGACACGGCCCAGACUCCUACGGGAGGCAGCAGUGGGGGAUAUUGCACAAUGGGGGAAACCCUGAUGCAGCGACGCCGCGUGGAGGAAGAAGGUUUUCGGAUUGUAAACUCCUGUCGUUAGGGACGAUAAUGACGGUACCUAACAAGAAAGCACCGGCUAACUACGUG